CCUACGGGAGGCAGCAGUGAGGAAUAUUGGUCAAUGGGCGUAAGUCUGAACCAGCCAAGUAGCGUGAAGGAUGACUGCCCUAUGGAUUGUAAACUUCUUUUAUAUGGGAAUAAAAUGUUCCACGUGUGGGAUUUUGUAUGUACCAUAUGAAUAAGGAUCGGCUAACUCCGUGCCAGCAGCCGCGGUAAUACGGAGGAUCCGAGCGUUAUCCGGAUUUAUUGGGUUUAAAGGGUGCGUAGGUGGAUUGUUAAGUCAGUGGUGAAAGUUUGCGGCUCAACCGUAAAAUUGCAGUUGAAACUGGGAGUCUUGAGUACAGUAGAGGUGGGCGGAAUGCGUGGUGUAGCGGUGAAAUGCUUAGAUAUCACGAAGAACCCCGAUUGCGAAGGCAGCUUACUGGACCGCAACUGACACUGAGGCACGAAAGUGUGGGGAUCAAACAGGAUUAGAUACCCUAGUAGUC
rnacentral:rRNA from 1 species